CUUCUCCCACCCCUUCCCCUGAUUCAUCAAACCCCCAAUGGCCGGUCUCUCCCACGAAGGUCAACCCUCGGGUGUGGGAUUUGUCAACACCAGUGGUGGCAACCCACCACCAGCCAGCCCUUAUUAAACUCCAGUUUGGCACUCCAUACCCUAACCAACCCCAACUCCCCAUCUCUGAAACUCACAGAUGCGGCCUUUUUUUAUUUUGAUUUUUUAAUUUAUUUUAAUUUUUUAAUUUAUUUAUUUUUGACAGGAAGAGUGGACAGUGAGAGAGAGAGACAGAGAGAAAGAUCUUCCUUUGCCGUUGGUUCACCCUCCAAUGGCCGCUGCGGCAGGCGCACCGCGCUGAUCCAAUGGCAGGAGCCAGGAACUUAUCCUGGUCUCCCAUGGGGUGCAGGGCCCAAGGACUUAGGCCAUCCUCCACUGCACUCCCUGGCCACAGCAGAGAGCUGGCCUGGAAAAGGGGCAACUGGGACAGAAUCCGGCGCCCCGACCAGGACUAGAACCCGGUGUGCCGGCGCCGCAAGGCAGAGGAGGAUUAGCCUAGUGAGCCGCGGUGCUGGCCACAGAUGUGGCCUUAAACCCAUCAUUGACAGGUUCCUCCAAAAAAAUCUCCUAAUACCCACUAACUCCCACUGUAACAUGCCCAUACUCCCAAUACGAAAACUGUUGCACAAGUAUAGACUAGUCCAAGACUUCCGCCUGGUCAAUGCCACAGUUAUCCCUAUCCACCCGGUGGUGCCUAAUCCCUAUACACUGCUAUCACAUGCUCCCCCCAAAACCUCCCACUUCAUGGUACUAGAUGAGAGAACAUCACCACAAUUCCGAUGUUCCUUCGCUGGAUUACCAGCAGUCCAGGUAACUGUCUACCAUGGUGGAGUUCACAGACGAGGCUUUGGCAGAUCCCCUGGAUCAAAGGUCUGUAUGACACCAACCACUCACUGGGACUAUGGUGAUGGGGUGGGGGGCACCAGGACUUUAAUCAAUGACAGGAGGUUGCUAGGAUUAAGGAGGAGCUCAAGGACCUGGGAGAAAACUUGUCACAAAUAA
rnacentral:lncRNA from 1 species